CUUUUUUCCCCUACCCUUGCCUCCAUCUCUUUUCCUACUUCUACCUUCUGGUUUCUGUGAGCUUCACUUUGAUAUUUACAUUGUUGAGGUUGAAAAUUUACAUUCUGUUCAGAAACCUGAACCCCCAUCCUUUGUCUGUAGGUUGAUGACACAAAUUUAAAAUUACUAAAAAUAUUAAAUUGUUAUGACAUUAUGUUUUCUUGUAUAAUUAUGUCAUCACCCUAGACCUCUCAAAGGACAAUAUUCCUAGAAAAUUCUAUGAUGGGCCAGGCGCGGUGGCUCACGCCUAUAAUCCCAGCACUUUGGGAGGCUGAGGUUGGCAGAUCACUUGAGUUCGGGAGUUCAAGACCAGCCUGACAAACAGGGUGAAAUCCUGUCUCUACUAAAAAAUACAAAAAUUAGCCAGGUGUUGUGGCGGGCACCUGUAAUCCCAGCUGCUUGGGACGCUGAGGCAUGAGAAUCACUUGACCC
rnacentral:lncRNA from 1 species